CCUACGGGGGGCGGCAGUAGGGAAUUUUCGGCAAUGGGGGGAACCCUGACCGAGCAACGCCGCGUGAAUGAAGAAGUAUUUCGGUAUGUAAAGUUCUUUUAUUAGGGAAGAAAGACUUAUGGAAAAAUAAGAGUGACGGUACCUAAUGAAUAAGCCCCGGCUAACUAUGUGCCAGCAGCCCCGGUC
rnacentral:rRNA from 1 species